rnacentral:rRNA from 1 species
AGCGAACGCUGGCGGCAGGCUUAACACAUGCAAGUCGAACGGGCUUCUUCGGACGUCCGUGGCAGACGGGUGAGUAACACGUGGGAACGUGCCCUUCGGUUCGGAAUAACUCAGGGAAACUUGAGCUAAUACCGGAUACGCCCUUUUGGGGAAAGGUUGACUGCCGAAGGAUCGGCCCGCGUCUGAUUAGCUUGUUGGUGGGGUAACGGCCUACCAAGGCGACGAUCAGUAGCUGGUCUGAGAGGAUGAUCAGCCACACUGGGACUGAGACACGGCCCAGACUCCUACGGGAGGCAGCAGUGGGGAAUAUUGGACAAUGGGCGCAAGCAUGAUCCAGCCAUGCCGCGUGAGUGAUGAAGGCCUUAGGGUUGUAAAGCUCUUUUGUCCGGGACGAUAAUGACGGUACCGGAAGAAUAAGCCCCGGCUAACUUCGUG